rnacentral:rRNA from 1 species
GAUGAACGCUGGCGGCGUGCUUAACACAUGCAAGUCGAACGGAAAGGCCCAACUUUGCUUGGGUACUCGAGUGGCGAACGGGUGAGUAACACGUGGGUGAUCUGCCCUGCACUUCGUGACAUGCCUGGGAAACUGGGACUACUACCGGAUAGGACCACAUUUAGGUGGGGGUGGUGGAGAGUUUUGCGGUGUGGGCUGAGCUCGCGGCGUAUCAGCUGGUUGGUGGGGUAAUGGCUUACCAAGGCGUAGACCGUUAGUCGGCCUGAGAGGGUGUACGGCCACAUUGGGACUGAGAUACGGCCCAGACUCCUACGGGAGGCAGCAGUGGGGAAUAUUGCACAAUGGGCGCAAGCCUGAUGCAGCGACGCCGCGUGGGGGAUGACGGCCUUCGGGUUGUAAACUCCUUUCGCUAGGGACGAAGCGCAAGUGACGGUACCUGGAGAAGAAGCACCGGCUAACUACGUG